rnacentral:rRNA from 1 species
CGAGCGAAGAGGGCUAGGGUUUCUCUCCCUAUCGAUUCACACCCGCAUUCGCGCCGCUCUCCCCACCCCUCUCCUCUCUCCUGCGAACGGAUCUCGCCGCCCCGUCGCCUCGUGGGCACUCGCCGGCGCGCAUCCUCUCCGCGCAGAGAUGGAUGACAACGGCAAGACCCGAGAUUCGCUGAUAGUGCAAGCUGCUGGUUUGGUUGCUGUUUUGUGUGCCUAUAUGGCCACAAUAACUACAAGGGCUAGAAUUACAUUCUAGUAUCAAUUAUGAUUCCCUCAAAAAAAAGUAUCAAUCAUGAUGACAUAAUUGGACACAAGAAAUUAUGUGCAAAGUUAUGUGUAUGUGUUAAUGUACGUGGCAGAUAGCACUGUCAUAAUCCACCUGAUAAUCCAUGAAUAUAAACCUUAAAUUCGUAAUGAGACUAACCAAAACAUGGGGAAUGGAGAAAAGGUACCUCAAAUCGGCUGGCCCCUGCAACUGCACACCGCCGGCCGCAGGGCAGGACUGCUGCCGAGUGCGGAAUGGGCGGCUGCCGGACGCCCAAAGGCAGGUGCACUAAGUCAAUGAAGCUGCGUCCAUAUAGUACUCGUGUAUACGACUAAUAUAUAGUGGAGUGGUUUUCUUAUUCUCUCCAUAACAAUCGUUUUAAAUUGUGUAAGUACGAAACGAAACUCCUUAUUUAACGUACCAGUGAAGAAAACUACUACUCCCUCUAUUCCUAAAUAUUUGUCUUUCUAGAGAUUUCAACAAGUGACUACAUACGGUGCAAAAUGAGUGAAUCUACACUUUAAAAUAUGUCUACAUACAUCCGCAUGUUGAGUCCAUUUGAAAUGCCUAGAAAGACAAGUAUUUGGGAACGGAGGGAGUAGAAUGCAAAUUUUCGCUGUGUCCAAUCAGGUGAAUUAUGAUUUAACACAGAAUUUGCUGUGUCCAAUCAGGUGGAUUAUGAUAGUGCUAUUGGUAAAUUAUAAUUAGUAUGUUAACAUGUCAUAUUUGCAAAUCCUAGAUCCGCCACUGAUCAGCGGCAAUGGCGAUCCGACACUACUGGUCGAUGGCUGUCGCGGCCGUCGGGUUCCGCCUCGUUCUGGUGCUCUUCGGCGGAGACCUCCACCUUGCCUCCCGCCCGGAGGUCUCCACCCCCCUCACGUCCCUCCGCCGCCUGGCAGAAGGAUACUGGCUGAAGCAAGCGUCCAUGUCACCCUAUUCCGGUUUGAUGUAUCAUGGUUCCCCUUUGCUUUUAUCAGUUCUUGGUCCGCUAACCAGCAAAAGGUCAGGUGGACACCAUUCUCAUAUAUAUUGCAGUUUGGUUUUUGUGGCUGUAGAUUUUAUAGCUGCUAUGCUCAUUCGAUCAACUGGGCGUUCACUCCAAAUGGCACGUAACAGAAGUUUGAAGUCUCUUGACCUCACAAAAUCAGUGAACAAUUCUGUGAACGUAAGCACAGGAGAUACUGCUUCUCUAAUAUAUCUGUGGAACCCUUGGACAAUAAUCACCUGUGUGGGUUCAUGUACAUCACCAAUUGAGAAUUUAAUGGUCGUGAUAAUGUUACAUGGAGCCUGUUCACGUCUUGCGCCGCUUGCUGCCUUUGGAUAUGUCAUGGCAACACACCUUUCUCUUUAUCCUGCAAUUCUCAUUCUACCUGUUGCUCUUUUAUUGGGUUAUGGUCCAGAUACUCCGCCAACCAAAGUAUUUCUUCAGAAAGGCUUGAGUGCCAGUAAAAUUGACAUGUUAGAUAAUGGAAAAGGUACUAACCAAAAAGGUUUUGGACAAUUCUCAUGGAAACCAAUACUCCACUUCAUAUUGUGGGUGUUUAUCUGGUCAUGUUAUGUGCUGUUAUUGAACAGCAUUAUUCUGAAUAAAGUGGGUGGCCUUCAGGAGAUGUUUGAAAAGACAUAUGGCUUUAUCCUUACAGUGAAGGAUUUAUCACCAAAUAUUGGUGUGUUAUGGUAUUUCUUUGCCGAAGUCUUCGACUUCUUCAGAAGCUUCUUUCUUAUAGUCUUUAAUAUGAACAUCAUUUUUAUGGUCUUGCCAUUGGCUAUCCGUUUGAAGCAUCGACCGUUCUUCCUUGCCUUUGUUUACACAGCAAUUGUCGCAAUGCUGAAAUCUUAUCCCUCGGCUGGAGAUUCAGCUCUAUAUCUAGGACUUCUAGGCCUAUUCGCCAAUGAAUUAGCGGAGAUGCAAUUCACGUUCUUCUUGUUUUUUGGAUAUAUUGGAGUCUCUCUCCUUAGCCCUGUCAUGCAUAACCUAUGGAUCUGGAGGGGUACUGGUAACGCAAAUUUCUACUUUGCGACUGGUUUAGCUUAUACCUGCCUUCAGACCGUGUUGGUCGUAGAGACUGUAAGUUCAAUGAUAAAGCAUGACAGGAAACUAAGGCUACUUACAAAAGCCUAACAUCAUUCCUCAGAAGGUCAGCACGUCAGAUUCUUUCCUUGCUGGUUCCCUAUGAUGCGAACUUGCGACCAGUUUGUCGUUCUGGGAUUCUGGGUAGAUGUAGUGGAUGAUGUUUCAUGUCAUGUUGUAUUUUACCUCCCACAUUUGUACAAUAUGGAUCAGAUUGCUUAAUCAGGAUUAGAGAAAGACUAUAUAGGUUUCUCCCUCGAAGCUAACUAUAGUCGGUACUGAAUUUCUCCGUGGAUGCCUUGAUUACUGCCUUCUCUGAUGUUGGUGAAAUUAAUCCCUGGUAGUCUU